CCCCUUUCUGAGAAAUAGGGCAUUCCCACCAGGUAUAGCAGACAGGGAAUUUGCAAACUUGGAAAAAGCUGUUCUACAGAGGAUUUGUCACAUGUAUGAACAUAAGAAACUAAUCCCCUUUGACCAACUCCAACAGAUAACACACCUCACCCCCACUGACUUUUUCAGAUAUAUACAGAUACGAGACUAUGUCGAGCAGCCACUCGUGCAACAGGCGGUAAUAGGUCCUCUGACAUUUUUUGAAAGAAUGUGCCAUAACGAAUCCACUCGGAAGGGCUUAAUAACCACGAUGUACACACACUUGUGUUCAGAAACAAAGGAGUGGGGAGCACUGAGGCAUGGGAAAGAGACCUGGGCGAGGUACUGGAGGGAAAAGAAUGGAGGGACAUUUGGGAGGCAAAUCAUACCGUAUCCAUCUGCGUAACGCUACAGGAGCAAUCCUACAAAAUGAUGUUUAGAUGGUACACCACACCGGUCAAACUAUAUCGCAUGCGACAAACAACUACAGAAGACUGUUGGAGGGGUUGCGGACACAGAGGUACAUAUAUACACAUGUGGUGGGAAUGUCCUAAAGUUCAAGCAUUCUGGACAAAAAUACACAAAAUGGUAAAUUGAAUUUUCCACAGAGCACCCGACCUAAACCCAUGGACAUACCUUCUGAACAAACGCAUAGACGACUGGACUAGGGAGGAACAAAAAUUGAUCCAUAAGAUCGCACUAGCCGCAAGGAGAACGAUGGCACAAACAUGGUUGCAGGCGGACAUGCCCCCCAUACAGAGAGUGAUAGGUAACAUAAAGGAGGUACACUUAAUGGAUAGCCUGACGGCCAGAUUGAGAGGGACCACAUCUAAAUUCGAUAGACUGUGGGAGCCCAGGCACAGCUAUAUCCUAUCCAGCCCUUGAGAAAGAUAUGUACACUAAAUAAUAGCAGGCCGCGCUGAACCGUCGCAUAUACCCCCACUUUUCCCCCCCAUCUUCUCUUUCUUUCUCCACCUAUACCUUUCUUUCCCUUCUAAGGCCCUCUAUCCCUUGAACACAUGGACAGGGUGGUACAAGGAUACUAUCCAUACACUCCAGCAACCUAAAUGGACCCUGGCGAGUCAAGACAAAAAAUGGACGAGGGAAGGGGCCCUGACCCGAAAUAACUAUACCAAGACUUGCAUGUAAACACCUGCAAACACGGACAGAAGCAUACGGACUAUAGACAGGGAAGCUAUAUGGAUGGUCUAGGGCAUAGCAUAGCGACUAGCCUAAAUAGCAAUGGGUCCCAAGCUAAUGGAUAUAACCAAAGUAAGCACGACACACACGGUAUGAACAUAUAAGUAGGAUAUAAGGGUUAUAUAUGUUCUAUACAGUACGCAAACUAUGCUAUGAGACAGGCACACAGUUAUAAAGUUAUGGUUAUUACUGACCCCCCCCCCCAAAAAAAACAAAAACAAAGACGAACGGAUCCACUGGGCGCACAAGUGGAUCCAGUGCAUGAACAUAACGAGAUAUCUAUGAGUUAACGAGAGGGAGGUAGCACCACCACGAGAUAUGUCCUAGACGGCCAGAUGCAAAUGUAUACAGUGGCUAAGCAAAUGUUAACCUUUGCUUUUGUAUUGAACCAAAU
rnacentral:lncRNA from 1 species